rnacentral:tRNA from 1 species
UCCCUGAUGGCUCAGACAGUAAAGAAUCUGUCUGCAAUGCAGGAGACCCGGGUUCAAUCCCUGGGUAGGGAA